CAGCAGCCGCGGUAACACAGAGGGUGCGAGCGUUAAUCGGAUUUACUGGGCGUAAAGCGUGCGUAGGCGGCUUCUUAAGUCGGAUGUGAAAUCCCUGAGCUUAACUUAGGAAUUGCAUUCGAUACUGGGAAGCUAGAGUAUGGGAGAGGAUGGUAGAAUUCCAGGUGUAGCGGUGAAAUGCGUAGAGAUCUGGAGGAAUACCGAUGGCGAAGGCAGCCAUCUGGCCUAAUACUGACGCUGAGGUACGAAAGCAUGGGGAGCAAACAGGAUUAGAUACCCCGGUAGUCCCUGUCUCUUAUAC
rnacentral:rRNA from 1 species